rnacentral:misc_RNA from 1 species
UUAGUGCGAAUAUCAAAUGCGCGUUUUUACGUAACGUGAGACAGGAUCGUCCUAACCUGUCACCUGUCAUCGGUUGUCUGUCACUCGACAGACUUCUCUCCGUGGGCUGCGUUCGAAAACGUCACCUCGAGUGCUCUCUGGUAUCGUUCUAUUCUUGUUGUUCGUUGAAUGUGAGACAAGGAUGAUAUCCAAGAGCACUCCGAUAAUGUUUCCGAACGCAGCCAUGGAGAUAUUCAAUUGCACUGUUCAAAGAGAAGUGGUUCAAGCUACGGCACAAUCUACUAUUUUACUUCAACAUCAAUGACUUAGGGCACAUCGAUACGAAACAACCUGCUGGGGUGAUUGUCCUGGA